rnacentral:piRNA from 1 species
UGUGUAUAUGUGGCACAAUUACUGUUUGGU